GACGAACGCUGGCGGCGUGCUUAACACAUGCAAGUCGAACGGAAAGGCCCUGCUUUUGUGGGGUGCUCGAGUGGCGAACGGGUGAGUAACACGCGAGUAACCUGCCCUUGACUUUGGGAUAACUUCAGGAAACUGGGGCUAAUACCGGAUAGGAGCUCCUGCUGCAUGGUGGGGGUUGGAAAGUUUCGGCGGUUGGGGAUGGACUCGCGGCUUAUCAGCUUGUUGGUGGGGUAGUGGCUUACCAAGGCUUUGACGGGUAGCCGGCCUGAGAGGGUUACCGGCCUCAUUAGGACUAAGAUACGGCCCAGACUCCUACGGGAGGCAGUGGUGGGGAAUAUUGCACAAUGGGCGGGAGCCUGAUGCAGCAGCGCCGCGUGCGGGAUGACCGCCUUCGGGUUGUAAACCGCUUUCGCCUGUGACGAAGCGUGAGUGACGGUAAUGGGUAAAGAAGCACCGGCUAACUACGUG
rnacentral:rRNA from 1 species